rnacentral:misc_RNA from 1 species
UGUCUUCUGCGAGCGGUGCGA